rnacentral:rRNA from 1 species
UACGUAGGUGGCAAGCGUUGUCCGGAUUUACUGGGCGUAAAGGAUGCGUAGGCGGACAUUUAAGUCAGAUGUGAAAUACCCGAGCUUAACUUGGGUGCUGCAUUUGAAACUGGGUGUCUAGAGUGCAGGAGAGGUAAGUGGAAUUCCUAGUGUAGCGGUGAAAUGCGUAGAGAUUAGGAAGAACACCAGUGGCGAAGGCGACUUACUGGACUGUAACUGACGCUGAGGCAUGAAAGCGUGGGGAGCGAACGGG